rnacentral:rRNA from 1 species
GCCGCCGCGGUAAUACGUAGGUGACAAGCGUUAUCCGGAUUUACUGGGCGUAAAGGGCGUGUAGGCGGUCUUGCAAGUCAGAAGUGAAAUUCCUGAGCUCAACUCGGGCGCUGCUUCUGAAACUGCAGGACUUGAGUGCUGGAGGGGAUAGCGGAAUUCCUAGUGGAGCGGUAAAAUGCGCAGAUAUUAGGAAGAACACCGGUGGCGAAGGCGGCUAUCUGGACAGUAACUGACGCUGAGGCGCGAAAGCGUGGGGAGCAAACAGGAUUAGAUACCCC